rnacentral:tRNA from 1 species
UUGGUUGGGGGGGCUAAGCCC